GUUUAUUGGAAACAGAAAACGGGUGGAAAGAGGGACAGUGGAGAAUACUCAGCUUUACGGAGGAGACUGUGAGGCGGAGCUGGAGGUAGAUGAUGCUGUGCACGGAGUGCUCUGGGAGUGUUUAUAGCACUGUGACUUUAACACUUCAUGACUGAGAGCUGCUGCUACAGCAACUUCACCCACAGCUACCAUGACUUUCAUCCCCGUCUUCAUCUGGACACUGAUCCUCUGGACUCAAGAAUGCAGAGGUCAAGUCACAGUAACUCAGACUCCUGCAGUGAAAUCUGCUCUUCCAGGAGAAACAGUCACCAUCAACUGUAGAACCAGUCAGGCAGUGUAUCAUCACAGCUCAUAUGGUCACUGCUUACACUGGUAUCAGCAGAAACCUGGAGAAGCUCCUAAACUCCUGAUUAAGUUUGCAAAUCAGCGAGAGUCAGGUAUUCCAGCUCGUUUCAGUGGCAGUGGAUCAGGAUCAGAUUUCACUCUGACCAUCAGUGGAGUCCAGACUGAAGAUGCAGGAGAUUACUACUGUCAGAGUUACCACAGUGGUGGUGUGUUCACACAGUGUUAUAGAGUCGUACAAAAACCUCCCUCAGUCAGAUUGUAGAGAGACUGAACUGCUGCAGCUGGGAGAGACUGCAGGUGCUGAGUUGGAGGAUGUGAUACGACACAAUGACACUCUGUGGAGGAGAGGAACCACACCACACUAACUCACAACUCACAUUAGAGAUUUCUCAAUAAUCAUCACAGCACACUGCACACAGUCCCUCACAUGUACUACAUUCCUAUUUUACUACAAUCAUGGUGCUUACUGUCACAAUUGAAAACUUCACAGCUUUACAAAUAUCAAGUAUCUGAUUAUCAAAUACAUUUCUGUUCUAUCUCAUCCCCCCAGACCUACUCCAUCUAAACUAUUCUGCUCUCAAAGACUGGUUUUCAUACACUUUUGUUUGUGUGCAUCUUUUCUUGCAGCUAUGGGACUUGCAGUAAAAUCCCAUUGCACCUUAUGAAAACACACAACAUUUCCAAUCGAGUGGUCAGGUUUCCUUUAUUCCUGAUAUUUUACUGAUAUUUUAUUCCUGAUGUUUUACUCGUUUUGAACUGAUGUUUGGACACACUGACUCACUGUGGUGUUUGACAUUAACUCCAGAGUAUCAGAAAAUAUGAAAAAUAAAAUUAUUUCUAAUCACAAUCUAGAUAAGUUUGAUUUAUAAACAAAUCUGACAUAAAUUAUGUUAAUUUGUUUAUAAAGAUUAUGAAGUUCUCAGAUUAUGUGUAGUCGGAGCUAGAAGGACAUCAGUCUUAGCUGAAUGUCUUCAUUGAAUUCUGUGUUAUUUUUCUAAUUAGUGUUGGUGGUGGUGUUAUUGGUUCCAUAAAGUAAACAAUUAUGAUUUUUAUGCAUUUUUCUAGAAGCAGAUAUGCAGAAAUAGACACCAAAAUAUCUUAUGUCUUAUUUCAGUAAGAGAAGUGUUUUACUCUUAAAGAUGU